AUUGAACGCUGGCGGCAGGCCUAACACAUGCAAGUCGAGCGAGCGGCGGACGGGUGAGUAAUGUCUGGGAAACUGCAUGAUGGAGGGGGAUAACUACUGGAAACGGUAGAUAAUACCGCAUACCAUCAGAUGUGCCCAGAUGGGGUUGGCUGUUAGGGGGGGUAACGGCUCACCAAGGCGACGAUCACUAGCUGGUCUGAGAUGAUGACCAGCCACACUGGAACUGAGACACGGUCCAGACUCCUACGGGAGGCAGCAGUGGGGAAUAUUGCACAAUGGGCGCAAGCCUGAUGCAGCCAUGCCGCGUGGGUGAAGAAGGCCUUCGGGUUGUAAAGCACUUUCAGCGGGGAGGCGUUACCCGCAGAAGAAGCACCGGCUAACUCCGUGCCAGCAGCCGCGGUAAUAC
rnacentral:rRNA from 1 species